CCAGAGUCCAUUUCCUUUGCUGAGAAUAACGACUCACUCUCUGCUGGACACCUGCAAGGAAUUACUCCAGUGCCUCCCUCGCUAACCUGUUGUUCAUCACUCCCUCAGUUGGCAGGAAUUAAAUCACUGCUGCUCAGAAAUUGCCAGGACAUCUGCUUACCAUCACUGUCCCCAGGGAACCAGGCUCUCUGACAUUGCAGCCACCACUCUCCUUAGCCAGGGCCCUUGAAUGCUUUUGGAGACAUUUAGAAAAGGAGUUGGCACAGAAGCAUAAUGCUGGAUGAAAACUGCCAUUCAGAAGACUUCGCCAUUCAAGACUGCUGAGCCUAAGGGUUUCAAACACGUCUCCCCACCCGCCAGUCAUUGCUUGUCCUGAUUCAAAGAGACUUGAAUCCAUCCAAGGAGCUGGAUAGAGAGCAGCUUGUCGUUGGUCAGACGUGGUCUUUUUUGCAGUCCAGGCACUGGGACAGAAGCCAGCAAGCAAACUGAUCUCAAAGGAGUUUGGAAUCAAGAAUAUGAGAUACUGAGAGAAGAUGGUUGCUUGACCUGAGGUCUCCUAGAAUUGGAUAAAUCAAAGCCACCUUUACACCAGAGCUACGGUGGAACAGAGAAGCCACCACUUUGCCAGGAGAGAUGCAGAAGAAUGAAGCAGAUGUGGGCAGAGAAGAGAGGUCAUUCAAGACUGCGUUCUCCACAAGAUUCCACCAACAGGCCCUGGACUUUCCUUGCACAGCUUCAGCUACAUUGAGCAAUGCUGUCACUGGCAUGGGUCUGAGUGUCUCCGGGAAGGGACUUGGAUCAGCUGUGCAUUCCUGGGUGGCUCCACGGAGGCUGAAGAGAAGGUCACCCAGGAGGGGGAAGCACAGGUUGGAAGAGAAGGGAGUCCCUGGUGGAAGCAGAUAGGAAGAGGAGCACCAGCGGGCAUGGGCAAGGCAGAAAAAACAGCCCUGCAAUGCACGGGGCAAGAUAGGCACUUAACUCACUCUGGGCCAUUAAUCCAAUCGUGGUUGGCCACAGGAUUUCUAUGGUCUUUUAACCAAUAUAAUUCUGACAUGGUUGUCAUUUAAUGGU
rnacentral:lncRNA from 1 species